AACAAUUAGGCAGCACUUUAGGAAGUCUCAGACUUCUUAGUACCACGUGAUGUCGACUAGGUUGAAAAGACCUCGGUUCUGGCUAGCUGAGAUCUGGCGAGAGCUGGAAUCAUCGAAAGAUGUGAUAUCUGGACGGCGGCCCAUCCGGUUUGAAAAACGGAUAUACUAGCCACGUAGACGAACGUCGCGGAUGGAUUUCUCACAUCCAGGAAUGUCCCGAAUAUCACGGGAAAGCUCAGGCUGACUAAGACUGAGCCCAACACGUGCCAAGCUUUUUUGCUGCCGUAGCGAUCUACCAGGACGCCGAAGACCGGUGUCAUAAGGGCGUCCACGAUUUGUCC